AUGAUAAAGGUUCCAAAAGCACAUGGCGUACAGGAAACUGAUUCACCACGUUCAAGAUGCUACUCAUGCUCAUCAACAGGACACUCUCCUCUUAGCUCUACUGUUGCAUUCAAAUGCAGACCUGCCAGGUUGACCAAUUUACUGGACAAAAAUGAAGCAAUGGACACCUUGAAGGUGGGAUCUAUGCGUGAUUCAGAUGGAAAUGACACGAGUCUAUUUGAAGGAUCUUCUGAUAGUUUUUCUCACUCAGAGGAGUGCAAAUCAUAUAGCGUGACUACACUGGAAGAUAUCUAUGAGGACUCACGAGAUCUACAACCUCAAUGCUUCUAUGGAUUUUCAGUGAAUCCACUUUUCGGGGCAACCUCAAGAUGCUCUGCUGCUGAUACUUAUCAUCAUGAUGGGUCUUGUGGUUUUCAUGACAAGAACUUGGAACCAGACACUGAUGAUAAAUUGCUUAGAAGAACUAAAGAAUUGGAUGCAUGCUUUAUGGUUCCUUCUGAAGAAAUGAGCGAGCUUAACAUGCUCAGGGAUAAGAGAUUGAACUCAACUGACAUUAUGCAGCUGGUUCUCAGCUUGAUUGAAGAUAGAAAACAACUGGCGCUUGAACUAUCUUCACAGAUUAAGGCGCGUCUUACAGAAAGGUUUGCAGCCAAAGAACAAUACAAGCGAUCCAGGGUAGAAUUAGACUCUAGAACUAGAAGGAUGGAGAAUGAGAAGACUUAUGUGCAAACUACCUUGGAACGGGAGCUUGACAGAAGGUCAGAUGAUUGGUCAGCCAGGCUAGCAAGAUUUCAAGCCGAAGAACAGAGACUACGGGAUAGAGUAAUGGAGCUAGCAGAGCAGAAUGUGUUAUUUCAGAGAGAAGUUAAUUUGCUUGAAUCAAAUCGAGAUGAGGCUUCUAACAGGAUUACAAGUUUGGAACUGCAAAACAAACAACUGAAUGAUGAGCUGGAGAAAGUUAAAGGUGAGCACACCAGUCUUCACAGAUCCUCAGUAGAGUUGCAUGAUAGCUUUACAAAAGCUGCAGAAGAAAGGGACCAAAUCCAAGAAUGCUUAAAAUCCAAGGAAGAUAACAGUAGGGCACUACACAAGGUGAUUGCAAGGUUACAAAGGGCAUCAAAUGAGCAGGAGAAAACAAUAAAUGGGCUGAGACAAGGAUUUAGUGCUGAAUUAGAAAAGAGAUCUGCCGGAAGUAGCGAAAGCAUCACAAGGACACAAAUGGAACUUUUGAGACUUACUGGAGUUGAGCAAAAGCUGAGAAAAGAAAUUCAGUCCUGUAACCUUGAAUCUCUUCAGCAAGAGAACAUAGGGAUUUUAAAUCAUCUAGAAAGUAGUGGGAAUGGAUUAAGUUUAUCCUUGCUUCGUGUUGACCUCGAACUUCACGCUAGAGUGGACAACUUGCAGAUGCAAGGCUUAUCAUUACUUGAAGAUACUAGUUGUCUUUGUGGCAAGUUGUUGGACGUCAUGAAAUCCAAGAGUGAGAAUAUUCGCAGUGUUGAUGCACUAGCAGCCAUUGAAUACACUUUGAAGUACCAGAACAUAAGACAAGGAAUGGACAAUUUAGCCCUUAGUCUGAGAAAAGUUAAGUCUGUGUUGGUUGAAAAGCACAACGAAGAAGACAACACAGUGGGUGUUCCUGUGAGACAUGAUACAUUAUAUAGGGAUGACUUCGAAAUUAAGCUGAAAGAAGAAGCUUUACUCAACAGAGUAUUGAAGGAGAAGCUAUUGUCAAGGGAACUGGACAUUGAACAAUUGCAGGCAGAUGUAGCAUCUUUUGUCCGGAUCCAAGAUGCCAUGGAAAAUGAGAUCCAUAGAACUCAGGAUGAAUUAUGUCGCGCAACCCACAAGUUUAAGCAUUUUGAACUUCAGGUUUUGAAGAAAGACGAGAGCAUUAACCAGAUAGAACAGGAUUUUCAGGAAUCUGCAAAGGAGUUGACCACUCUCCGGUGCACCCUUAAAUCAGUAAGUGAUGAAAGGGAUGCCUUGUGGCAGGAAACAAAGCAUUUGCGGAAAACUGUUAGCGUGCUGCAAAAUGAUGUUGCCUCAUUAAAGCAGAAGAUCAAAUCGCUUGACGAAGACAUACAGCUGAAGGAAGGCGAGAUACUGCUGCGUGAGGGUGAGAUUUCCAUAUUACAGGACAGCAUCGAUAGGCCACUCGACAUCAUCUGCACUCCUCGGUCAAUGAAACAGUUUGACAUGGAGUAA
rnacentral:rRNA from 1 species